UACGUAGGGUGCAAGCGUUUAUCCGGAAUUAUUGGGCGUAAAGAGCUCGUAGGCGGUUUGUCGCGUCUGCUGUGAAAACUGGGGGCUCAACCCCCAGCCUGCAGUGGGUACGGGCAGACUAGAGUGCGGUAGGGGAGAUUGGAAUUCCUGGUGUAGCGGUGGAAUGCGCAGAUAUCAGGAGGAACACCGAUGGCGAAGGCAGAUCUCUGGGCCGUAACUGACGCUGAGGAGC
rnacentral:rRNA from 1 species